UGGGGGCGGGCUAAUACAUGCAGUCGAGCGGACAGAAGGGAGCUUGCUCCCGGAUGUUAGCGGCGGACGGGUGAGUAACACGUGGGUAACCUGCCUGUAAGACUGGGAUAACUCCGGGAAACCGGAGCUAAUACCGGAUAGUUCCUUGAACCGCAUGGUUCAAGGAUGAAAGACGGUUUCGGCUGUCACUUACAGAUGGACCCGCGGCGCAUUAGCUAGUUGGUGAGGUAACGGCUCACCAAGGCGACGAUGCGUAGCCGACCUGAGAGGGUGAUCGGCCACACUGGGACUGAGACACGGCCCAGACUCCUACGGGAGGCAGCAGUAGGGAAUCUUCCGCAAUGGACGAAAGUCUGACGGAGCAACGCCGCGUGAGUGAUGAAGGUUUUCGGAUCGUAAAGCUCUGUUGUUAGGGAAGAACAAGUGCAAGAGUAACUGCUUGCACCUUGACGGUACCUAACCAGAAAGCCACGGCUAACUACGUGCCAGCAGCCGCGGUAAUACGUAGGUGGCAAGCGUUGUCCGGAAUUAUUGGGCGUAAAGGGCUCGCAGGCGGUUUCUUAAGUCUGAUGUGAAAGCCCCCGGCUCAACCGGGGAGGGUCAUUGGAAACUGGGAAACUUGAGUGCAGAAGAGGAGAGUGGAAUUCCACGUGUAGCGGUGAAAUGCGUAGAGAUGUGGAGGAACACCAGUGGCGAAGGCGACUCUCUGGUCUGUAACUGACGCUGAGGAGCGAAAGCGUGGGGAGCGAACAGGAUUAGAUA
rnacentral:rRNA from 1 species